rnacentral:lncRNA from 1 species
CUACCUAUACGCCUGUCUGUUACUAAUAGUAGUUAUGCUGAUUUGUUUUAUAGGUACACCAGUAGCGGUUAUUUUGGGGUCUUCCAUACAUCAUGCAUAUAUAAAUGAGUCCUAUACGUUUACCUGUAGAGUUACACAUGCUGCUGGACUUGUUGUGGAGUAUAUUUUAGUAAGGAAACAGCCUUAUAUCCCAUAGACAUUCUUCAGUAGUAUGGCGAUUCGUGUUCUGUGAUUGGUAAUCCAGAACCAGGUUAUACUGCAUGGUGUGGACGUGGAAUAGACAAUAGCACAUCACCACUAAGAACUAUACCAUGUAGAUCAAAAGAGUUGCUGAUAGGGAUGCUACAGAUUGGUGGUGUAGACUGAGGGGUAAUUCCAUAGAUAGUCCGCAAUUUAGACUGCCAGUUCAUGAUGUAGCAUCACCGCGUCUUUCAGGGUCUUCCUCCCAUGCAGUUGUAAACAAGCCAUUUACUUUCAACUGUACAAUCACACAGGCUGCUGGUAUUGUUGAUGGAGUAUAUUUUAAUAAGAACCACAAAUCGACAGAUUUGACAGCCAUUCUCUACCAAUCUGGCGGUUCAUGUGCUUUGUUCAGUAGUCCAGAUCCAGAUCACACUGUAUCCUGCGGAAGUGGAACAGACAGUACUUCAUCCAACAUUGAGAACUAUACCUUGAAGAUCAACAGAGCUUCGGCCAGGGAUGUUGCAGUUUGGAUAUGUGGACUGAAUAACAAUCACGUUAUGAGUUCGGAAUUUAGACUGACAGUUUAUGGUAUAGCAUCACUGGUUCUUUCUGGGUCUUCCUCCCAUGCAACUCCAAACAAGUUGUUUACAUUCACCUGUACAGUCACACAGGCUGCUGGUCUUGUUGAUAGAGUAUAUUUUAGGAAGAAAACAACCUUAUAUCCGAUAGCAACCCUCUACCAGACUGCCAAAUCAUGUUCUGUGGUUAGCACUCCAGAAUCAGGUUACACUGCAUCAUGUGGGAAUGGAACAGACAAUAGCAAAUCCAACAUCAAGAUCAAUACAAUGGAGAUCAAUAGAGCUGCAAUCAGUGAUACUGAAUAUUGGUGGUGUGGACUGAAUAAUAAUAUAAUACAGAGUCCGAAAUAUAGACUGCCAAUUUAUGAUUCUGGCUCCAGUUAUUAGCGCUGAUCAUACUGGGUGUGAGUAUCCUCUAGUGAAGACCAUUGCUGUUCUUACGAUGAAUGCUGCAUCCCUGAAUGGCCAAGCAACUACCUGGGUGAAAUUGAUUCAUCCAUCUUUUGAAAAUGAAUUUCGUAGAAUACUGAUUGGUCGUGUUAGCUUUCAAUAUACAUCUGGUGGGUGUUAGUUCGCGUACAUUGUUGGCAUCAUUGUGGGCAUCAUCACUGCAUCAUUGCAAGCUGUGUAAAAUAACAAAAGAAAAAGGAUAUUAGCAAAGCUGUACAUCUUUACCACUGUGCUGCCCUCUCUCGAAAUACAAUACUGCCCUAUCUUCAGAGAUUGCUCUCGGAAAAAGAAGUCUUCAAGAGUUUUGAAAAUACAUCACGAAAAAAAAGUACCUCUGAUAAUAGAAUGUGAUCCUGAAGUAAUCCGGAACUGGCGCAUCACCUCUAUGAGGGAGUUACAUGGGAGCCAUUAGGUGAGUUGGCAUGGAAUGAUCUUACAAUGUCGUGGGCCCCGGUCCACGAAGCGAUCUUAGCCCUACUAUCGCCGUAAAUAUCUACCAUCAGGACAUUCAUAUUUUUUUCUACGAACGACAGCCCGUUCCAUGGCGCGGCGUAAUUUACUAUCAUUGUUUAACGUAUUUGUAAAAUAUGUUUAUGAAGAUGUAUAGCAUGAAUUACAUUGUUAUUAUUAAGGUUAUGUGUAGCAACGAAGGGUAUUCUAUCAUUAGUAUGUUUCUUGUUGUCAAUUACAGUUAAGAUUGCACCGUUUACAUUUGCUUUUAUAAUUGCAGUUUUGAUUAACGUUUCUGGAUACUUUUGUUUUUAAAUGAACCUCCAGUUAUUGGAGACGUUGUUGUUUUCAGACGUAUAUCUGACACUAUUCUUACAAUAUGUGAUGCUAAACUAAAUUGAUUAUUAAAGUUUGUAUGUUUUGAGUGUCAUCAGUUAAACGUUUACUCUAAAUGUCAGAUGAUAUAACUCCAUCCUUAAGCUGUACAUCUAAGAACGGUAAAUGUGUAGUAUUAAUGUUCAAUGUAAAUUUCAGAGAAGGAUGUAAUAUAUUAAGUUCAUUAUAAAAUAUAUGUACUUCGACUGUGGAUAUCCAAAUGAUGAAGCAGUCAUCUAAAAAUCGUAUGCAAUUUUUGCGUUAAAACACUCCCCAAAGCAUCUCUUUAUUUACAUUCCACAUUACGAUGUAACAAUUGCUCUAAAUAUUCACUAACUAAAGUGGCAUACGGUGGUACCAUUUUAGUAUCCAUAACUGUACGCUGUAUUUGUUGAUAAUACAAAUCACUGAAAUAAAAUACAUUUCUUUCUAAUACAAUACUAAUGGCUUCAGGAAUGAAACCCUCAAUAAAUCUAACGCCAAGUACUUUAUGGCAUCUACGCCCACAUGUGAAGUAUUUGAAUAUAAACUAACUAAUACAGUGAGUUUGUUAACGUUCUUGGGUAAGUUAUGUAAAAAGAAAUCAAUAUCAUUUUGAAUGUAACUUGAUAUAUUAGCAGAAAGAGGUUUUAAUAUGAGAUUUAAUAAAUAACAUAGGUGUUGUAUAUAUUAUUGACGAUACCGAAACACACGAGGUUACCAAUCUCUUUAUCAUAUAAUCUCAACUUAAUACAACAUUGUUAGCGCCUCCUGCAAUUGGUCUGAAUGUCAGAUCAUUUGGUCGCAAUCAGUGUAUGUAUCUAGAAAAUUUCUGUUGUAGCAUUUGUUAAAGUGGAAACCUUUCUAACAUGUUAAUAAACUAGUUCAAAUAUUUAUUGCUUAUAGGUGGAUUCCGAGUACUUUUAUUUCUAAGUAUGUGUCUGUUUCGUCGUCUUCUUGAGUGUCAAAACAUUCAGUCAGUCUCACUUUACGAGCGAAUGACUUUAUGUGGGAUUUCAGUCCGGAUGUAUUGGUUUGACGUGUGGUUGUACAUUUUAAUCCAAACUUUAACAAGCUUAUUUCAUCUUCUGUCAAUUCACGAUUUGAUAAAUUAAUUAACUCGUAUUCUCUUUCUGUAUAUUCUAAUCAGUUAUAUGAUAGUUUAUUUUUAUUCAUAAUAUAUAUAUAUAUAUAUAUAUAUAUAUAUAUAUAUAUAUA